rnacentral:rRNA from 1 species
UGCAGUCGAACGCUUCUUUUUCCACCGGAGCUUGCUCCACCGGAAAAAGAGGAGUGGCGAACGGGUGAGUAACACGUGGGUAACCUGCCCAUCAGAAGGGGAUAACACUUGGAAACAGGUGCUAAUACCGUAUAACAAUCGAAACCGCAUGGUUUUGAUUUGAAAGGCGCUUUCGGGUGUCGCUGAUGGAUGGACCCGCGGUGCAUUAGCUAGUUGGUGAGGUAACGGCUCACCAAGGCGACGAUGCAUAGCCGACCUGAGAGGGUGAUCGGCCACAUUGGGACUGAGACACGGCCCAAACUCCUACGGGAGGCAGCAGUAGGGAAUCUUCGGCAAUGGACGAAAGUCUGACCGAGCAACGCCGCGUGAGUGAAGAAGGUUUUCGGAUCGUAAAACUCUGUUGUUAGAGAAGAACAAGGAUGAGAGUAACUGUUCAUCCCUUGACGGUAUCUAACCAGAAAGCCACGGCUAACUACGUGCCAGCAGCCGCGGUAAUACGUAGGUGGCAAGCGUUGUCCGGAUUUAUUGGGCGUAAAGCGAGCGCAGGCGGUUUCUUAAGUCUGAUGUGAAAGCCCCCGGCUCAACCGGGGAGGGUCAUUGGAAACUGGGAGACUUGAGUGCAGAAGAGGAGAGUGGAAUUCCAUGUGUAGCGGUGAAAUGCGUAGAUAUAUGGAGGAACACCAGUGGCGAAGGCGGCUCUCUGGUCUGUAACUGACGCUGAGGCUCGAAAGCGUGGGGAGCAAACAGGAUUAGAUACCCUGGUAGUCCACGCCGUAAACGAUGAGUGCUAAGUGUUGGA